rnacentral:lncRNA from 10 species
UCAGCUCAGAUCCCGCAUAUCUUGAGUUUACAAAAGCUCUUUCAGGUCCCCAUUUAUACUUUACGUGAGUGCGAAUGAUUUCAGCAAACCCUAACUUAACUAACAAGAAUGGGUAGGUAUGUCUACGUUUCAUUAACAAAUUUUUAUUAUUUUUAUUCUAUUAUAUGAGAUCCUUUUAUAUUAUCAUCUCACUUUUAAACAAAAUUAACUGGAAAAAUAUUACAUGGAACUGUCAUAGUUAGGUUUUGCAGCAUCUUACAUGUCUUGUAUCAAUGGCAGGAGAAAAAUAUGAUAAAAACAAUCAGUGCUGUGAAAAACAACUUUCUUCUAGAGUCCUCUUACUUUUUAUUCUUCUUUAUCAUUUGUGGGUUUUUCCCCCUUGGCUCUGAUCACUUUAACUUCAAGCUUAUGUAACGACUGUUAUAAAACUGCAUAUUUAAAUUAUUUGAAUUAUAUGAAAUAAUUGUUCAGCUAUCUGGGCAGCUGUUAAUGUAAACCUGAGAGUAAUAACACUACUCUUUUAUCUACCUGGAAUACUUUUCUGCAUAAAAUUUAUCUUUGUAAGCUAACUCUAUUAAUCAGGUUUCUUCUAGCCUCUGCAACCUACUUCAGUUAGAAUUGUCUAAUACUGCUCUAUUAAUCAGGUUUCUAGCCUCUACAACCUACUUCAGUUAAAAUUGUCUAAUACAGCAAUAUUUAAAAAAAAAACACUGCAAUUGUCAAGGAUGGAAAAUGUGUGAUUUGUGUAAACAAUUUUUACCAACUUUACAUUUUCCUACAGAUAAAUGUGAAAUUUUGAUAAGAAGUCUACGCAAUGACAAGUAUGGUACAUAAAUUUUAUUAAGAAUAUUGAGUAUAAAGUACUUUAAUUCUAAAUUAUAAGAAAAUAUACAUUUGCACAUAUUAAUAUAGAAAUUCAUUUUGUGUAUAUUUAACAUAGCUUUUAAACUAUUUUACAUUAGCUACUUCAUUAUGGUUUCUUGAACUUCUGAAAAAAAUUAGAAAUGUAUUAAACUUAUCAGUAACAUAAAAACUUAUUUUGUUUCACCUAACGAAUACUGCGUUUGUAAAAAUAAAUUUAAUAUAGAAUAUAUUUUUAAAUUAAAUAUUUGAAUAUAAAAUAGCUCUAAGAAAGAAGCAAAUUAUCACUGAACAUAUUUCUUAUUAUUUCUGGCUUUGAAUUAUACGUAACUUAAAUUGUCUUAAAUGAUACAGAAUAUUGGAGAAUAUGAUACUUUCACAUAAUAUACUAUGAACCUGUUCAUAUAACUCUGAUUGACUACUAACUUCUGUUUUAUGUAUUUAUUAAAGAGCUGACACUGUAGUUUGUGGUGAGAUGUUUAUUUUUCUAACAGAGCUUAUAACAGUUAGGACAAGGCAUUUAAUUAAUGCAUCAUUCUGUUUAGUAGUAGGUGUUAAUCAAUAUGAAAUUCUCUGUUUUAAAAUAAAAAUGUAAAAAUCUAA